GAGCCACAGCGGCCAGGGUUGAAAGUGAUUUUUUUUAGCCAUGAGUAAAUAUAUGUAUAUACUAUGCAACAUGAAAUGUAUUAAUCAUGGUGGCUUUUCAGAGCUCAUCCUCCACUAGCCUGGGCAAGUGUCUGAGCUCUCUCUAAAGCCACAUUGUGGCUACUGCACACUUGUAAUUGGCUAGCCUGAAUUGAGAUGUGUUGCAAGUGUAAUGUACACACCUGAUUUCAAACUUAGUAUGAAGAAAAGAAUAUAAAAUACCUCUACAUAAAAUAAUAAAAAUUAAUCAUUUUCAUAUUGAUUACAUAUUGAAAUAUUUUGGGUGUAUCAGGUUAUGUAAAGCCAAACUUACAAAAAAGCUCCCUUAAGGGAUUUCAGCCUCCUGGCACACUUCCACAUGCCAAACACUUCCACAUGCCAACUACCGCCUUCUGUUAAAUGGAAAUGAUCGUUACAGGCAGGGGCUGUGGAUUACUUCUUUCAUUUUCCUCCAUAGCACCUGGUGCAUUGCUCUGCAUGAAAGUUGAUAACCAGCUGGCUAACUGUGGAUCCUGUUGGUAGGGGACUGAGUUUUCUCUCACUUAUCUUCUAUAGCCCUGCUAUCACUAAAUACUUUAAGUCCCCCUCACUGCCUGAGUCAGGACACAUGCACCCUGUCCAUUUCUAUAUGCUCAGACACCACAGUAAAACAAAGACCCUACCUAUCUUUUUAUAUUUUUAACCCUUUCUUCCAUAAGGAGGUUAGCAUUAAGCAAAUGGUGGGUUGGAAGGGUAGUGAAAGAACAAAUUUAAAAGAAUAGAAGAAACAAAUUCAUUCAUUCCAUGCUCAAUAUGCCUGACUAUAAUCACUCUGCAAGAAAUGAAUGUUGCCUUUGGACAGAGACCAGCAGGAAAAUGGCUAAUGAUAAUGCUGGACAGAAUUCCAGGUGACCACAGUAAAUGCCCAAGGAAGCCCAUGUUUGUUUACUUUCACUAACACAGCCCAUUAAGUGUCUCACUUUUAAAAUGUAUGCUGCUCUCAGUGGCUAAAUAGAUGGCAAUACUAGUAAAGGAAGUCAUUGAUGUCUCUGGAAAUCCAUCAUCUUUUGGCUCACCAGCCAAUGAGCAUCCUACCUCACAACUGAUAUAAUGCACCUUCUGCAAGACAGCAGUCUCUUGGCACUGCUCCCCUUUGAAGGAAAGCCUGAAAUGAACUCCUGCUAAAGUAGCAUAUUGAACAAGCCCAUUUUUAUUUCCAAGGCCUUCUCAGUUGAUCCAUGGUACACCCAUCUUCAUGGAAGUGACUAUUGCAGGCUAGAAUUACAACUUCCUUCUGACAGCAGAAUGCACUCCUGGAAGAACCUGACCAAGGUUAACCGAAUCCUUAAGUAGACAGCUUUCAGAGUGGCUGGGCCUUGUUAGAAAGGGUUGGCAGAACACCUGCUGGGCCCAAGGAUUUGUCUAGGCAAAAUCUGAGGGUUGGGGAGGCCAGAGGGCACAGUCCUUGUUCACAAGGAGUCUUUAUGCCUCAGGAGUUGGGUCUCCAAAGAGGGCUGUUGCAUCAUAUUGCCCAAGGCUAUUUACUCAGUUUCUCUUCUUGACAGUCAAGGUUAUGAGUCACCUUGCAUCAUGUUUAAGCAAGAAAAUAAACAAAGAACAGAAAAGAAAUCAAGGAUCAAGAAUAAACACUGUAAUGAUGGAAAGAAGAAACAUGUCAAACCCAUGCAGUAUGGUAAAGUAGCCAGAGCCAUAAGAGUGCAUUUCUAAAAUACCAGCUCUAUCAUAAAAUCCAGGUAAUCUUUUCCAAUUUCUUUAUCAGUCUUAUUUAAUUCUACUUAUUCUCCUCUUUUUCUAUAUUUUCUUCCAAUGAAAAAUAAAGCAGGUGGAAAAACUACAGGCAUACCUUUCCGAAAAAAAUUCCCCUUGAACACAAUUCCAUUGAAUCCUCAAUAUCCUUAUCAAUGUACUACUUACAAGAAUCUAAAAUACAGAUUGCUUGUAAAGUCCUCUUAAGUAUGCCAACUUCCCACUUCAUUCCCUUAAAGAGCUAUGCCAGGCUCUGUAUCAGAGACCAGAGAUACAGUGAUGACAAGACAGGUUUCUACUCAACAUCCCCGUGGCAAACUUUGACUCACUCUCAGGGAGCUCACCACUCUCCUUUCUGUCCGCACUGCACCUGGUAACACAAUUCUUAGCAUGCUGUGCUCUUAUCAACCUGUAUGGAAACUCUGUUUAUGUUUCAGUCUGCUCUCAAACCUUUAGAUCACAAAGUACUCGAGGGUUCAGAGCUCAGCCUGUAGUAUGUACUCAAUCAAUGAGGGCUGAGUUAAACUGGAUCAGAAUUGAUAACCUUCACUGUAAACCAUAUAGAGACAAACGCAUGUAGACACAGGAACACUGUACACACCUUCUGAAGUGCCAUGCUAAACAGACAGCCCAGUUCACUACAAAAAGGGCAUUUUACACAAUUGCUGAGAUUUAAAUAAAAUUUGUACUUCCAGACAAUAAGUUCACAUUCUGGGGCUUGUCAUGAAGUUUUAUAGCCCCUAUAUGCUCAGGAACUUCCUUUUCCAUUAUCCCUAGGUAAAGUUAAGAGUUUGGGGAGCCAGUGUAUGCCUCAGGUAAUAUAAUGAGAACCACUGUGGCAAUGGCUACCUUUUUUUUUAAAGAUGUUUUAUUAUUGAGUCCUGUUUUCUCUUAACUGUAUGAAUUCAACAUUGGUGACUAUUGAGAGAAGGAUCCUGUCCUCUGCAGGGCAAUCUCUCAAGCCUUUUGUGCACUUUCCAAAGUUAGUUAAGCAACUCUGCAGCCACACCCUGCUGAUAGUUGUGACGCUGGUGAUCCACGUGUAAGUUUGGGUGAAAUGCUUGAGUGCUGGGAGAAACACAGAGUUUGUAUAAUUUGAAAUAUGAAGAUAUUAGCAAAGCUAAAGAUUAACAGAAACUACUUAAAAACUUAAAAAAGAAGUGUGAAUUUAGCAUUUUCACUUGGCACUAACUCCCUUCAUGAAUGAAGUUUGUUAUUGUCAUUAACAUGUGCCUUGACUAUUAAAGUAAAAUCCUUAGCAAAGGAAAGUUGGGGUCUGAAGUGCAAAUCAAAAUUUAGAAUAUAUCCCUACAAUGACCAAAGUUUGAUAAAAGGUGCUUCAAAAAAUUUAGUGUAGUGGUUUAUAAAUUGCUUGCAGCCUCUAUUUAAACAGAGCCAAUUUUCAGUAGCUGGACAACAGGGAACAUUUUUAUCAAAUGUAGAUCAAAGCAAUCACUUAAUGAUGGAACUUCUAUACAUCCUUCAUUCACACACACACACACACACACACACACUUUAAGCCAGAACUACCAAAAAGAUCAGAAGGGAAUGUAUCUCACUUAAGAGUGUGUUGUAGGGGAAAGAACUUCCUCUUUGUAGGUGCAGAGCUCUGGGUUUGAAUCCCAGAUCUACCCCUUGGAAGCAAUGUGACUUUGGGGAAGUUGGCUUACCCUGUCUGAACCUGUUUCCUCAUUUCUAAAGCGGCAGGGAAAUGGAAGUAUAACAUUGCCAGCUUUGCAUGGUUCUUGGGAGUUAACUCCAGGAUGAGCUGUCACAAGUGAAAGUGAAAAGUACUUGAACUUUCUUCCCUUGAUUUCCUCUGCCCACCCUCUUAGGCAGAAGCAAGCAAGGAGCAGGAUAGCUAAAAGGCAAGAAGGGAAGGAAAAGAAGUUGACACAAAAGACUGAAACAAUACACAAACUGGAGCUGGAUGUUGCCUUUCUGUCCCUUACCCUUCCUUGACUUACCUGUCAGGAAGAAGUGUGAUACAAGUUUGAACACUGGGUUUAACUUUUAAAAAUAUUUUUGGGUGAUAUGGUAACAAGUCUUUAGUGGUCAACUUUUUCUAUGCUAAACCAUAAGAUAUUUAGUGGUUUAAAGGGAUCCUUUGGUAACAAACUUAUUGGGAUGCUUUGCACCGCAUGAGAACAUACGUCGUGUGUAUCAUUCAAUAAGUGCUGGGGAGAAGUUAAUAUCUAAUUGCCCUAAGAAAAUAUAUUUUAAAAAACAAGCACAAGUGAACAAAGGCCCACAUUGCUCUAAUAUAACUUCCUUUGUUUUCAUGCAUCAAGAAAGUUGUGCUAAGGCUGCCUUUGAACCCUUAUUAACCCUUUUGAAGAAAUAACAGUUCCAUGAUGGGUGGCUUUGGAAUCUGUGAGCCCUCAUUUUAGGAAAAUGCUACAUCACAAGAUCCUUUAAAAAAAACAAACCCCUCUUUCCAGGGUCAGACUCCACAGCCAAUCAAAAUAUUGCACCUUUUAACUUAAGGGAAAUCGCUAGAGAGAAGAUAGCUCUAACUAGUGUAUAGUUCUAACUAGUGUAUUGCGGGUUCCCCAAGCUCCACAAGACUUCAGUCCACGGAAAACCCACCACCCAUUUGGUGUUUCUGAUUCCUUGAGGAUACACGCCGAGGUGGCUGUGAACCAGUUACUGAGCAGGAAGGAAGCUCUGAGUGCUCGGUUUGGACUCAUUAAAAGGCAUGCAGCCCCUAAGUAAAUGUAGCUUCCCAUACCUGAAGAGAAACCCUCACAGCAUACCCGGAAAUGCUUACAAUUCAUUUCAGAUGAUACACAUUAUUUCUAAAUACAUCAUCGAGGGACUCUUUUACUUAUUUUGAAAUGUUCAAACGAAUGGAGAAGUUUUGCUUCCAUGUCGUUUUCAUUUUUCCAAAACGCAUUAGGCACCAACAUUAGUUGAGAACCGAAUCAUUCCUCAGCUAGAAUUGAGAACUUAACGGACUCGUCCAAAGCUUUGCGAAGAGAAUACCAUUUUUUAAAUUGCACUGUAGAAUUUUUUUUCCUUCAGACAAGAACACACUUAAAAGGAAAAAGGCCAUCCCCUCCUCCCCAGGCACAAAAACACAGCAGAGCCCAAGCAGCCCGUUUCCUACCCAGCCUGUACAAUAAUGCUUUGUAAGCUGAGAGCAGCGCCGGGUAGAGAAGCUAAAUAUAAACAGCUGAGAAGGAUUAGGCGGUAGCUCCAUUCUCAUUUACAUGAAAAUCCUCUAAGCAUCUUUUUUCCUCGCUGGCUGCGGGCGCAAAAGGAACUCUUUUGUGCCAUAGCCACGCAUACAUUUGCAUCCUUUGUCUUUACUUACCAGUCGAGGCUGUGGGCAUGUGUGCUCUAUUUCCUCCAUGGUUUCUGAGGGAGGCUCAUUGGAAAGGGAUUUUGGGAUACCUGUUUCUGACUCAGCAUCAGUGAAAUGAAUAUUUGACAUGAGUCAGAGAGAUGAGCAGCAAAGAGCUCCAGUUCUUAGCGCUCAAAGACACCAUACCAUAGUGGUUGUGCCUGUGUUUGAGAAGGUCCUGAAAGAGGCGGUUUCCUGGUACUGCAGCAAAUACUGCACAAUCCUGAGGAGUGCACCUUCUCAAUUGAUACAAAUGUGCUUGACUGGCAAGUGCUGGUGGAUAAUAUCAUCAUGAAACACUCAUUCAAGAUGAUGUCUCCACAUGCGCUAAUAAAUCUUCCAAACAGUAGCAUCCGAUGGGUUCUUCCUCCAUAACAGAAACAGAAGUGGACUCACUAGGUUAUGUUCUCUUUGAGUGAAAUGUAACUCUCUGAAUAACACCAGGUGGUGCCAAUGAGAAAUGGUCUUUCCAAAGGCCCAUGAGUGUAUCAAAUAUGUUUUUCUUGAAAAAAACAGAGCCCAACACUUUAGGAGUCCAAGUUCAUGUCUUAAAGUCUCUCAUUGUCUCUGAAUCUUUUCACAAGUUUCUCAACCUUCAAUUUGAUUUGAUGUUCUGUCAUCCUCCCAGGUGUUGCCUGAGGCCCACACUUUGAGUAACACUGUUUUAGAGCAAAACUGUGAAGGUAAAAAUACUCAAGAGAAUAUACAAAAUCUAUUGUCCUUUCUUUUAAAAGGAUACAAACUGUCAAAGGGACUCAGGAGUCAAUUUGGAGAGACUCCUGCCAGCCAAAGAUGGAAACUUUAAGCAUCAGUAAGGAUAAAGAACUGCAAUAGAUUGAAAUCCGUCAAGUAUGUUUAAAAUGUUUUAUUUAUUUUUUAGAGAGA